rnacentral:rRNA from 1 species
GGCUAAAACAGUCAGGAUGUUGGCUUAGAAGCAGCCAUCAUUUAAAGAAAGCGUAAUAGCUCACUGAUCGAGUCGUCCUGCGCGGAAGAUGUAACGGGGCUAAGCCAGUCACCGAAGCUGCGGAUAUUGUUCUGUGAUUUAUCACAGAUAUAUAUGGUAGGAGAGCGUUCUGUAAGCCUGCGAAGGUGUCUUGUAAAGGAUGCUGGAGGUAUCAGAAGUGCGAAUGCUGACAUGAGUAGCGAUAAUGGGGGUGAAAAGCCUCCACGCCGUAAGCCCAAGGUUUCCUGUUCAACGUUCAUCGGAGCAGGGUGAGUCGGCCCCUAAGGCGAGGCAGAGAUGCGUAGCUGAUGGGAAGCAGGUUAAUAUUCCUGCACCGUCGUAUGAUGCGAUGGGGGGACGGAUCGCGGAAGGUUGUCCAACUGUUGGAAUAGUUGGUUUUUGGCUCAUAGAAGGCACUUAGGCAAAUCCGGGUGCGGAAUUCAAGGGGUUGAGACGAGUGAACUUGUUCACGAAGCAAUCGGAAGUGGUUCCAAGAAAAGCCUCUAAGCUUCAGUCAUACGAGACCGUACCGCAAACCGACACAGGUGGGCGAGAUGAGUAUUCUAAGGCGCUUGAGAGAACUCGGGAGAAGG